rnacentral:sRNA from 1 species
UGAUUUUAUUAGAUCGUUUACAUCAACUCACGCUGUCUGUUUAUGUGUCCGUCUGGUAAAACCCAGGGUGAAGAAGGCGUGACUAAAAUACUAAAGUUAGUUGAAGCAGAGCUGGCAAAGUUAAAGAUAAAGUAUGCUGAGCUGGAACAUUCUCAAGAGAUAAAGAAUAAGCAGCUUAAACAAGCGAAGGAC